UAGGGAAUCUUCCACAAUGGACGCAGGUCUGAUGGAGCAACGCCGCGUGAGUGAAGAAGGUUUUCGGACCGUAAAGCUCUGUUGUUGGUGAAGAAGGAUAGAGGUAGUAACUGGCCUUUAUUUGANGGUAAUCAACCAGAAAGUCACGGCUAACUACUGCCAGCAGCCGCGGUAAUACGUAGGUGGCAAGCGUUGUCCGGAUUUAUUGGGCGUAAAGCGAGCGCAGG
rnacentral:rRNA from 1 species